AACGAACGCUGGCGGCAGGCUUAACACAUGCAAGUCGAACGCCCCGCAAGGGGAGUGGCAGACGGGUGAGUAACGCGUGGGAAUCUACCCAGUUCUACGGAACAACAGUUGGAAACGACUGCUAAUACCGUAUACGCCCUAAGGGGGAAAGAUUUAUCGGAAUUGGAUGAGCCCGCGUUGGAUUAGAUAGUUGGUGGGGUAAUGGCCUACCAAGGCGACGAUCCAUAGCUGGUCUGAGAGGAUGAUCAGCCACACUGGGACUGAGACACGGCCCAGACUCCUACGGGAGGCAGCAGUGGGGAAUAUUGGACAAUGGGCGCAAGCCUGAUCCAGCCAUGCCGCGUGAGUGAUGAAGGCCUUAGGGUUGUAAAGCUCUUUCAGUAGGGAAGAUAAUGGCGGUACCUACAGAAGAAGCCCCGGCUAACUUCGUGCCAGCCGCCGCAGUAACAC
rnacentral:rRNA from 1 species